GACGAACGCUGGCGGCGUGCUUAACACAUGCAAGUCGAACGGUGAAGCGCCUUCCUUUUUGGUUGGUGUGGAUGAGUGGCGAACGGGUGAGUAACACGUGAGUAACCUGCCCCCUUCUUCUGGAUAACCGCAUGAAAGUUUGGCUAAUACGGGAUAUUCUGGGUCUGUCGCAUGAUGGGUCUGGGAAAGAUUUUGUUUCGGUGGGGGAUGGUCUCGCGGCCUAUCAGCUUGUUGGUGGGGUGAUGGCCUACCAAGGCGGUGACGGGUAGCCGGCCUGGGAGGGUGGACGGUCACACAGGGACUGAGACACGGCGAAGACUCCUACGGGAGGCAGAAGGGGGGAAUAGUGAACAAUGGGGGAAAGCCUGAUGCAGCGAAGCGGCGUGAGGGAUGGAGGCCUGCGGGUUGUGAACCUCUUUCGCCAGUGAAGCAGGGCUGCCUAGUUUGUGGGUGGGUUGACGGUAGCUGGAUAAGAAGCGCCGGCUAACUACGUG
rnacentral:rRNA from 1 species